rnacentral:tRNA from 1 species
UUAAUUGAAGCCAAAAAGAGGCUUAUCACUGUUAAUGAUAGAACUGAAUUAUCUGAUUCCAAUUAAA